rnacentral:rRNA from 1 species
AUGAACGCUAGCGACCAGGCCUAACACAUGCAAGUCGAGGGGCAGCACAAGGAGCAAUCUGAGGUGGCGACCGGCGCACGGGUGAGUAACACGUAUGCAACCUGCCUGUAAGCGGGGAAUAACCCGUUGAAAGACGGACUAAUACCGCAUAAUACUAAAUUACUGCAUGGUAAUUUAUUUAAACAUUUAUGGCUUACAGAUGGGCAUGCGCAUGAUUAGCUAGUUGGAGAGGUAACGGCUCCCCAAGGCAACGAUCAUUAGGGGUUCUGAGAGGAAGGUCCCCCACACUGGUACUGAGACACGGACCAGACUCCUACGGGAGGCAGCAGUGAGGAAUAUUGGUCAAUGGACGAGAGUCUGAACCAGCCAAGUCGCGUGCAGGAAGAAUUGUCCUAUGGAUUGUAAACUGCUUUUGCAGGGGAAUAAAGUGCAUCACGUGUGAUGUUUUGUAUGUACUCUGCGAAUAAGGAUCGGCUAACUCCGUGCCAGCCGCCGC